CAUUACCGAUACCACCAGUUGCCCAAUGCAUGGGCACGGCUCAAAAGCCAUCGCUUCCGGACACUUUGAGGACGG
rnacentral:misc_RNA from 1 species